rnacentral:rRNA from 1 species
UCAACUUGAGAGUUUGAUCCUGGCUCAGAACGAACGCUGGCGGCAGGCCUUAUACAUGCAAGUCGAGCGCAUCCUUCGGGAUGAGCGGCGGACGGGUGAGUAACGCGUGGGAAUGUGCCCUUCUCUACGGAAUAGCCACUGGAAACGGUGAGUAAUACCGUAUACGCCCUUAGGGGGAAAGAUUUAUCGGAGAAGGAUCAGCCCGCGUUAGAUUAGGUAGUUGGUGGGGUAACGGCCUACCAAGCCUACGAUCUAUAGCUGGUUUUAGAGGAUGAUCAGCCACACUGGGACUGAGACACGGCCCAGACUCCUACGGGAGGCAGCAGUAGGGAAUCUUGGACAAUGGGGGAAACCCUGAUCCAGCCAUGCCGCGUGAGUGAAGAAGGCCUUAGGGUCGUAAAGCUCUUUCGCCUGUGAUGAUAAUGACAGUAGCAGGUAAAGAAACCCCGGCUAACU